UGACGACGAGACGCAAAGGCGUUGAAGCAGUGUACGUCAGACUUCCAAGAAAAGCUCGCAAUGUCAUAAAUAGAAAAUGCCUGUACCAUAACCGACACAGGUGGGUAGGUAGAGUAUACUAAGGGGCGCGAGAUAACUCUCUCUAAGGAACUCGGCAAAAUGACUCCGUAACUUCGGGAGAAGGGGUGCCUUAUUUAUAAGGUUGCAAUAACAAGAUCCAAGCAACUGUUUAUCAAAAACACAGGUCUCCGCUAAGUCGUAAGACGAUGUAUGGGGGCUGACGCCUGCCCAGUGCCAGAAGGUUAAAGAAGUUGGUUAGUGUAUGCGAAGCUGAUGACUGAAGCCCUGGUGAACGGCGUCCGUAACCAUAACGGUCCUAAGGUAGCGAAAUUCCUUGUCAGGUAAGUUCCGACCCGCACGAAAGGCGUAAUGAUUUGGAUACUGUCUCGGAGAGAGGCUCGGUGAAAUAGACUUGUCUGUGAAGAUGCGGACUACCUGCACCAGGACAGAAAGACCCUAUGAAGCUUUACUGUAACUUGAAAUUGGAAUUGGACUUUGCUUGCGCAGUAUAGGUGGGAAGCGUUGAAGAUAUUCUUGCGGGAGUAUUGGAGCUAUCAGUGAGAUACCACUCUUGUAAUGUUAGAUUUCUAACUUUGAACCAUAAUCUGGUCAAAGAACAGUUUCAGGUGGGCAGUUUGACUGGGGCGGUCGCCUCCCAAAUGGUAACGGAGGCGUACAAAGGUUUCCUCUGAACGGAUAGAAAUCGUAUCUAGAGUGUAAAGGCAUAAGGAAGCUUGACUGUGAGACCUACAAGUCGAGCAGGGACGAAAGUCGGUCUUAGUGAUCUGACGGUACUGAGUGGAAAGGCCGUCACUCAACGGAUAAAAGUUACUCUAAGGAUAACAGGCUGAUCUCCCCCAAGAGUUCACAUCGACGGGGAGGUUUGGCACCUCGAUGUCGGCUCAUCGCAUCCUGGGGCGGUAGUACGUCCCAAGGGUUGGGCUGUUCGCCCAUGAAAGCGGUACGCGAGCUGGGUUCAGAACGUCGUGAGACAGUUCGGUCCAUAUCCGGUGUAGGCGUUAGAAUAUUGAGAGGAGCCUUCUUUAGUACGAGAGGACCGAGAAGGACACACCGCUGGUGUACCAGUUAUCGUGCCAACGGUAAACGCUGGGUAGCUAUGUGUGGAGUGGAUAACCGCUGAAAGCAUCUAAGUGGGAAGCCCACCUCAAGAUGAGUAUUCUCAU
rnacentral:rRNA from 1 species